GUAACGGAGGAGCACGAAGGUUGGCUAAUCCUGGUCGGACAUCAGGAGGUUAGUGCAAUGGCAUAAGCCAGCUUGACUGCGAGCGUGACGGCGCGAGCAGGUGCGAAAGCAGGUCAUAGUGAUCCGGUGGUUCUGAAUGGAAGGGCCAUCGCUCAACGGAUAAAAGGUACUCCGGGGAUAACAGGCUGAUACCGCCCAAGAGUUCAUAUCGACGGCGGUGUUUGGCACCUCGAUGUCGGCUCAUCACAUCCUGGGGCUGAAGUAGGUCCCAAGGGUAUGGCUGUUCGCCAUUUAAAGUGGUACGCGAGCUGGGUUUAGAACGUCGUGAGACAGUUCGGUCCCUAUCUGCCGUGGGCGCUGGAGAACUGAGGGGGGCUGCUCCUAGUACGAGAGGACCGGAGUGGACGCAUCACUGGUGUUCGGGUUGUCAUGCCAAUGGCACUGCCCGGUAGCUAAAUGCGGAAGAGAUAAGUGCUGAAAGCAUCUAAGCACGAAACUUGCCCCGA
rnacentral:rRNA from 1 species